UCGAUUGAGUUUGAUCAUGGCUCAGGACGAACGCUGGCGGCGUGCUUAACACAUGCAAGUCGAGCGACGCUGUUCCUUCGGGAGCAGACGGAGCGGCGAACGGGUGAGUAACACGUGGGCAACCUGCCCCUAGCUCUGGGACAACUCCGGGAAACCGGGGCUAAUACCGGAUACGAUCUUCCACGGCAUCUCGGAAGAUGGAAAGUUUUUCGGCUAGGGAUGGGCCCGCGGCCUAUCAGCUUGUUGGUGAGGUAACGGCCCACCAAGGCGACGACGGGUAGCCGGCCUGAGAGGGCGACCGGCCACACUGGGACUGAGACACGGCCCAGACUCCUACGGGAGGCAGCAGUGGGGAAUAUUGCGCAAUGGGCGAAAGCCGGACGCAGCGACGCCGCGUGAGGGAUGAAGGCCUUCGGGUUGUAAACCUCUUUCAGCAGGGACGAAGCGAAAGUGACGGUACCUGCAGAAGAAGCACCGGCCAACUACGUGCCAGCAGCCGCGGUAAUACGUAGGGUGCAAGCGUUGUCCGGAAUUAUUGGGCGUAAAGAGCUCGUAGGCGGUCUGUCACGUCGGCUGUGAAAACUCGGGGCUCAACCCCGAGCCUGCAGUCGAUACGGGCAGACUAGAGUGCUGUAGGGGAGACUGGAAUUCCUGGUGUAGCGGUGAAAUGCGCAGAUAUCAGGAGGAACACCGGUGGCGAAGGCGGGUCUCUGGGCAGUAACUGACGCUGAGGAGCGAAAGCGUGGGGAGCAAACAGGA
rnacentral:rRNA from 1 species